GAUCAGGAGCUUGCUCCUGUGACGCGAGUGGCGGACGGGUGAGUAACACGUAGGCAACCUGCCCAUCAGACCGGGAUAACCACGGGAAACCGUGACUAAUACCGGAUAAUCCUUUUCCUCACAGGAGGGAAAGUUGAAAGGCGGUCUUUUGACUGCCACUGAUGGAUGGGCCUGCGGCGCAUUAGCUAGUUGGUGGGGUAAGGGCCCACCAAGGCGACGAUGCGUAGCCGACCUGAGAGGGUGAUCGGCCACACUGGGACUGAGACACGGCCCAGACUCCUACGGGAGGCAGCAGUAGGGAAUCUUCCGCAAUGGACGAAAGUCUGACGGAGCAACGCCGCGUGAGUGAAGAAGGGUUUCGGCUCGUAAAACUCUGUUGUCAGGGAAGAACGUCCCCGUGAGUAACUGCACGGGGAGUGACGGUACCUGACCAGAAAGCCACGGCUAACUACGUGCCAGCAGCCGCGGUAAUACGUAGGUGGCAAGCGUUAUCCGGAAUUAUUGGGCGUAAAGCGCGCGUAGGCGGUCUGUUAAGUCUGAUGUGAAAGCCCCCGGCUCAACCGGGGAGGGUCAUUGGAAACUGGCAGACUUGAGUGCAGAAGAGGAGAGUGGAAUUCCAUGUGUAGCGGUGAAAUGCGCAGAGAUAUGGAGGAACACCAGUGGCGAAGGCGGCUCUCUGGUCUGUAACUGACGCUGAGGUGCGAAAGCGUGGGGAUCAAACAGGAUUAGAUACCCUGGUAGUCCACGCCGUAAACGAUGAGUGCUAAGUGUUAGGGGGUUU
rnacentral:rRNA from 1 species